rnacentral:rRNA from 1 species
AUUGAACGCUGGCGGCAGGCCUAACACAUGCAAGUCGAACGAGUGGCGGACGGGUGAGUAAUGUCUGGGAAACUGCCUGAUGGAGGGGGAUAACUACUGGAAAAGGUAGCUAAUACCGCAUACCAUCAGAUGUGCCCAGAUGGGAUUAGCUGGUUGGUGGGGUACCGGCUCACCAAGGCGACGAUCCAUAGCUGGUCUGAGAGGAUGACCAGCCACACUGUAACUGAGACAAGGUCCAGACUCCUACGUGAGGCAGCAGUGGGGAAUAUUGGACAAUGGGCGAAAGCCUGAUGCAGCCAUGCCGCGUGGAUGAAGAAGGCUUUCGGGUUGUAAAGUACUUUCAGCGGGGAGGCGUUACCCGCAGAGGAAGCACCGGCUAACUCCGUGCCAGCCGCCGCGGUAAUUC